AGUGGAAAUAUGACUAUUAUAUGACUAGCAACUGCGUAAUGUGACUACAAGUAAUCAGCACUUGAAAAAACUUGCAAUAUUAACAGCAAAAUACAUUGCAAAAAAAAAAAAUGACUACGAAAAAACAAAAAUAACUAAUGUGAUCAUUCAACAAUGGCCAUCGAACAUGUUUUUUUGUUGCGGUAUCCAACUCGGUUGCACCGACUUCACUUAAUCUUCCGUUUGAUCUUCUCUGUUAAAUAUGACUACACUGUUGAACAUAUGCAGCACUACAAAAAAAAAAAAAAAACAAAUAUAACUAAGUUUUUAAACAUGACUACUCUGUCAAACGUGACUACUCUGUAAAAUACAUUGCACUACAACCGACUAAUCUCGUAACUCAAUGGAUUUUCCAGAUCUAAACAUUCAGAAUAUGCAGAAUAACACAAAAAUUAAUAAAAUCAAGAAUAAUUGAAAAUCAAUGUAUUCUUUCAUAACAAACAAAUAAUAGAUCUGAAAUUCAGAUCCAUAACAUAUUAUAUUGCUAGUUCGACAAUUAAUUCGAGAAAAAUAAAAAAAUAAAAUUUACCAAUUAAUAUAGUAUAUAUUGGUAUUCAGCGUCGAGAUAUGGGAAAUCUCCAUGUAGAAAUCCGACGGAGGCGGCGACAAGGUGGAGA
rnacentral:lncRNA from 1 species